GGGCAAUGAUGAUGCUGUCUGGGCCUGCCUGAAGACGACGGCCUAACUGGCAUGGCAUCCUGUGACAGGAUAUCAAGUGAAAUGAUGCGCGCGUCCGAUGGUCGACUCUCGGCUCUCGAGCGGCUUGAGUAAUUAGUUUGGAUUUUGUGGCAUUAUAAAAUCUCCUUUUUCGGUGGUGCCGCAGCCGCACAACCACUCGACCGACGCACAAAUAUUUAUUCAAGUGUUAAAGUGUCUGCCG
rnacentral:lncRNA from 1 species